AGGGGGACACAUGCAGGUUUGUUCUACAGAUAAACUGCAUGUUCUGGGGGUUUGGUGUACAGAGUAUUUCAUCACCCAGGUAAUAAACACAGCAUGAAUGAAACUCAUCUAAGCACAGAGGGUACACUUGGAGAAGCAUUUGGAUGAAAUCUGGUAAGAAACCAGUUGAAGUAUAUCGAGCAGCCCAACCCCAGGACACCCAUAUAAAUCUAGAAUGUAACCUUUGGAAAACGCUGACCUUGUAAAUUAACCAGAAACAUCAAAGAAGGAGAUUAUACUGUGUACAUUCAGAAUGCAAAAGAAAGAGCCAUCUUUACUUGUGAAACAAUGACCUUUGUUCUGCAUCUGUGUUAUGAUGAAUUCUCAAGUCUGAUGAGGUGAGACUCCGUAGUUCUCAGUAGUUGGGUCCUAAUGAGCUGGAUUUUCCAUAUUGUCUAAUCCACUUUGUCUAUAGCUAGGUGCUUAGGGAGGCCACUCGAAGUCUAUUAGAUUGGAAUGCUAAAAAACAGGUCCCCUGUGACCUAAGAGAGAUAAUAUAUCUCACUCAUUAGGGGUACAACUAGGUUCCUGGCUUACUGGAAAAAAAAAGAUUCUUAUUAUUUAUAUAUUUUUAUUUAAUUUUUAAACUGAACUUUAGGUGUCUUUAUUAACACUGAAAAGAAUAUCCUUAUAAAUAAAAUGACAGCUCUGUAAAAAAAAAAUCAGUUGGCAUUGAAACUGGUGGAUUAUACUCAUUCUUUACCUACAGACAUAUUACUAAUGUUUUUAUCUCAUUGUAGAUGACUUACAGGCAUGUUACUAAUGUUUUUAAUCUCAUUAUAAACCACUUGUUGGCAAGAGUUAGACAUACAUUUUUAUAGAUGCUAAAAAUGUAGCAUUGGGCACAGUGGCUUACGCCUGUAAUCCAAGUAUUUUGGGAAGUCGAGGCUGGAGGAUCACUUGAGGCCAGCAGUUACAGACCAGCCUGGGCAACAUAGCAAGACCCUGUCUCUACUUAAAAAAAUUAAAAGGUUUAGCUGGGUAUGGUGGUAUGUGUGUGUAGUCCUAGGUACUUGGGAGACUGGGGCUGGAGGAUUGAGCCCACGAGUUAGAGGCUACAGUGAGCUAUGAUUGUGCCACUGUACUCCAGCCUAGGUGAGAUCCUUUCUCUUAAAAAAAUACACACACACACACACACACACACACAAACACACGCAAUUCAUUAUAUGAUCUAGUGGUAAAAAGGCUUAAAAAUUGGAAACAUAAACACAUGUAAUUCAUUAUAUGAUCUAGUGGUAAAAAAGGUUUAAAAACUGGAACUAUAAAGAGCAGAAAAUGAGUCUCCUCUUUGCCCUAGAUCACUUCUUGUUUCAAUUUUCAGUGUUCCUGAGCUUUCCUUUCCAGUUUUCCCUCUGUUCCUGAAUAGUAACCAUUGUUAGCUGUUUCAUGUGAAUCUUUCCCAAACUCUAUCUACACACACACACACACUGCAUCUGGAUCAUGAUGCAUAUAUAUAUAUGAUUGUGAUUGUCAGUUUUAUGUGUCAACUUGGCUAAGGUACAGUUUCCACUAAUUCAAUCAACACUAACCUGGGUGUGUUGCUGUAAAGGCAUUUUUGUAGAUGUGAUUAAAAUCCAUAUUCUGUUGAUUUUGAGUAAGGGAGAUGAUCCUAGAUAAUCUGGAUGGGCCUGAUUCAGUCAUUUGAAAGUUCUUAAGAGCAGACUUGAGUCUUCCCUGAAGAAAAAGGAAUUCUGCCUAUGGAUAGCAGCAUCAGUUCGUGCCUGACAGUUCCAGACUUCUCUCCCUGAUGGCCUGCUCUGUGGUUCUCAGACUGCCUAGCCAGUCUGACAGUUGGAUACACAUAUUCCUUGCAAUAAAUCUCUUAACAUGUAUUUCCUACUGAUUUUGUUUCUUUAGUUGAACCAUGACUGAUAUAUAUAAAUAUUUCUACGGCUUGUUUUUUCACUAACAAUGUGUCUUAGAGAUGGCUUGAACCAUGUCUGGCAUAUUAUAUUUCUGUAGCUUGCUUUUUCACUAACAAUGUAUUUCAGAGAUGGCAUAUUU
rnacentral:lncRNA from 1 species